AGUGAACGCUGGCGGUAGGCCUAACACAUGCAAGUCGAACGGCAGCACAGUAAGAGCUUGCUCUUACGGGUGGCGAGUGGCGGACGGGUGAGGAAUACAUCGGAAUCUACUUUUUCGUGGGGGAUAACGUAGGGAAACUUACGCUAAUACCGCAUACGACCUACGGGUGAAAGCAGGGGAUCUUCGGACCUUGCGCGAUUGAAUGAGCCGAUGUCGGAUUAGCUAGUUGGCGGGGUAAAGGCCCACCAAGGCGACGAUCCGUGGCUGGUCUGAGAGGACGAUCAGCCACACUGGAACUGAGACACGGUCCAGACUCCUACGGGAGGCAGCAGUGGGGAAUAUUGGACAAUGGGCGCAAGCCUGAUCCAGCCAUACCGCGUGGGUGAAGAAGGCCUUCGGGUUGUAAAGCCCUUUUGUUGGGAAAGAAAAGCAGCAGGUUAAUACCCCGCUGUUCUGACGGUACCCAAAGAAUAAGCACCGGCUAACUUCGUG
rnacentral:rRNA from 1 species